rnacentral:rRNA from 1 species
UACGAAGGGGGCUAGCGUUGCUCGGAAUUACUGGGCGUAAAGCGCACGUAGGCGGCUUUCUAAGUCGGGGGUGAAAUCCUGGAGCUCAACUCCAGAACUGCCUUCGAUACUGGGGAGCUUGAGUCCGGGAGAGGUGAGUGGAACUGCGAGUGUAGAGGUGAAAUUCGUAGAUAUUCGCAAGAACACCAGUGGCGAAGGCGGCUCACUGGCCCGGUACUGACGCUGAGGUGCGAAAGCGUGGGGAGCAAACAGG